GACGAACGCUGGCGGCGUGCCUAGUACAUGCAAGUCGAACGGUCUUUUCUAUGGAAGCUUGCUUCCACUGAGAAGAUAGUGGCGAACGGGUGAGUAACACGUGGGUAACCUGCCCAUAAGAGGGGGAUAACAUCCGGAAACGGGUGCUAAUACCGCAUAGUUUUCUUGGUCGCAUGAUCGAGAAAGGAAAGACGGCCUUUGUGCUGUCGCUUAUGGAUGGACCCGCGGCGUAUUAGUUAGUUGGUGAGGUAACGGCUCACCAAGACGAUGAUACGUAGCCGACCUGAGAGGGUGAUCGGCCACAUUGGGACUGAGACACGGCCCAAACUCCUACGGGAGGCAGCAGUAGGGAAUCUUCCGCAAUGGACGAAAGUCUGACGGAGCAACGCCGCGUGAGUGAAGAAGGUUUUCGGAUCGUAAAACUCUGUUGUCAGAGAAGAUCAAGUCGGAGAGUAACUGCUCCGGCCUUGACGGUAUCUGACCAGAAAGCCACGGCUAACUACGUGCCAGCCGCCGCCGUAACAC
rnacentral:rRNA from 1 species